rnacentral:rRNA from 1 species
AGCAGCCGCGGUAAUUCCAGCUCCAAUAGCGUAUAUUAAAGUUGUUGCAGUUAAAAAGCUCGUAGUUGAAUUUCGGGGUCAGUAGGUUGGUCAUGCCUUCGGUAUGUACUGGUCUCACUGAUUCCUCCUUCUUGAAGAUCCGUAAUGUCAUUAAUUUGGUGUUGCGGGGAAUCAGGACUGUUACUUUGAAAAAUUAGAGUGUUUAAAGCAGGCUAACGCUUGAAUACAUUAGCAUGGAAUAAUGAAAUAGGACGUUUGAUCCUAUUUUGUUGGUUUCUAGGGUUGACGUAAUGAUUAAUAGGGAUAGUUGGGGGCAUUAGUAUUCAAUUGUCAGAGGUGAAAUUCUUGGAUUUAUUGAAGACUAACUACUGCGAAAGCAUUUGCCAAGGAUGUUUUCAUUAAUCAAGAACGAAAGUUAGGGGAUCGAAGACGAUCAGAUACCGUCGUAGUCUUAACCAUAAACUAUGCCGACUAGGGAUCGGAUGAUGUUAAUUUUUAAUGACUCAUUCGGCGCCUUACG